UAGACAUGCAGUCGAACGGUAACAGGGAGCAGCUUGCUGCUCUGCUGACGAGUGGCGGACGGGUGAGUAAUGUCUGGGAAACUGCCUGAUGGAGGGGGAUAACUACUGGAAACGGUAGCUAAUACCGCAUAACGUCUACGGACCAAAGUGGGGGACCUUCGGGCCUCAUGCCAUCAGAUGUGCCCAGAUGGGAUUAGCUAGUAGGUGGGGUAACGGCUCACCUAGGCGACGAUCCCUAGCUGGUCUGAGAGGAUGACCAGCCACACUGGAACUGAGACACGGUCCAGACUCCUACGGGAGGCAGCAGUGGGGAAUAUUGCACAAUGGGCGCAAGCCUGAUGCAGCCAUGCCGCGUGUAUGAAGAAGGCCUUCGGGUUGUAAAGUACUUUCAGCGGGGAGGAAGGCGUUGUGGUUAAUAACCACAGCGAUUGACGUUACCCGCAGAAGAAGCACCGGCUAACUCCGUGCCAGCA
rnacentral:rRNA from 1 species